GUAGGGUCUCUAAUGUUUUAAACCAUCAACCUGCUAGGGACUGCAGAUAAAAAUGAGCCUGUUUGGCUAAAUCUGGCACAUAUACAUGUUGGACUCUGAGGGCAUACACAUGUUG